CGGGCCUCAUGAAAGUGUAGUAAGUAGUAACAUCCACUCCAUCCUCUGCUUCCUGCCACUUGUGUAAUUCUAUCAGGUGCUUUUUCUUAGUGGAAUCCAGUAUUGCUCUUCAAAAUCAGAAUCACAGUCCCUGCAAUAUCAAGAAAGCAUCAGCAUCUAAUUUACCAUAGUUUAAGAUAAUGUACCCCUAUAAAAAGAAAGUAAAGAGAAGAAGAUCCAGUGUAAUGGAGCCAGAAGCUUGAGAAUUUAAAGCAACACUUUCUCUUCUGGCAUUAAGCUAACUCAAUUGGCCAUAAUUUUUUUCAUAACAAGGGGUUCCUUUCUCCUCUAUCCCUUUUUUUACUCCAUUAACAGCCUUUCUCCCUCUAUAUUAAUCCAACUGCAUCUCACCUCCUGUUUCGUGCUUCUAAGCUCACCACAGGACCACACAGUUGUGGCCAGAUCCUUCUAGCAAUCUACCCAAUAAAAUUUCCAUGCAGUUAACACAUUAUGAUCUCAAAACACCAUAUUAACCACAGAUAUGACAUAUGGAGAUCAGAAGAAAACGGGUAAAAAAAAAAAUUCAAAUCAAAUGAGAAAAUUAUGUCAUCUUUUUGGACAAGUUUCGAUUCUUCCCUGAAGAAACCUAAGAAUAAUCUUGUUACUCGUCACUCAAAGGUUACUGUCUCCUGGUACCUACUUCUCUUCUACAUUAUGUUUUCUAAAUAGCCAUAGAAUUAUUUGCAUUAUUGCUCUACAGAAACUUACUGCUUCCAUUCGUCUGAAGCCAUAAAUACAUGGCUAGCACAAAUGAACCAAUUGUCAUUGUAUACAAUCAAAGCUUGAUGAUCUCAUUAACCAUACAAUUAUGCACUAGACAAGCCUAAGAUCCAUAAGGUAGAGCAAGGAAGAAAGAAAACCUCUGGACUACAGAGGCCGAUAACUACAUAUCAAACAAGAAGCACACAACCCAACAACUUUAAAACUCAAAACAUUGUAAGAAAUCCAAAACAAAAAUUCCACUCAAUCAACCUUUAAAGACUACAUAGACAAGUAAUUUCAAUGUUAAAGACUCCACAGACAAGCGCCGUGAUUUUUUCCAAUCCUGUCAAAUUGUAAACAAUAAGCACUACAAGCUGCACAUAAAGUCAACAUUUUUAUGCACAGUGAUGUUCAUAGUCAACAAAAGCAGUCAUUACAGCAAAACAAAACAUGCAAAACUAAGCUGUAAACACGAUCACCUUAAAUUUAAACAAAAAUCCAUAAAGGAUUAGACCAAUUUGAACCCAAAAAACAACAUUACAACAAAUUACAGAUCAUGUAAUAACAUCAAAAAUGCGAUUUUCCACCACGUUUUCAAAUUUUAUUGAGACCCCAGAUGGAAACUUAACAAAAAAUGAAGAAUCCUAAAUUCUUUAAGCAACUACUAACUAAUGAAGCACAACAAAAAUUAACAUUGAACAAAAAAAGAGCCAACAAAGAGAAUAAGAAAAAAGUACCUUUUUUAUGGCUUCCGAAGAUCAAAUCACGAAAUUGAAUAGCGAAAUGGAUCUGGCGGGAUAUUAAGAAAAAUAAAUUAUUUAGCAAUGGCGUUUGUUUACUUGAAAAAUCAAGCGAUUUUA
rnacentral:lncRNA from 1 species